rnacentral:rRNA from 1 species
AUUGAACGCUGGCGGUAUGCUUAACACAUGCAAGUCGAACGGCAGCAUGUCUUAUCUUCGGAUUUGAUGAUGGCGAGUGGCGGACGGGUGAGUAACACGUAGGUAUCUACCUGAAAGUGGGGGACAACCCGGGGAAACUCGGGCUAAUACCGCAUAUUCUCUACGGAGGAAAGCUGGGGACCGUAAGGCCUGGCGCUUUCAGAUGAGCCUGCGGCAGAUUAGCUUGUUGGUAGGGUAAAGGCCUACCAAGGCGACGAUCUGUAGCUGGUCUGAGAGGAUGAUCAGCCACACUGGGACUGAGACACGGCCCAGACUCCUACGGGAGGCAGCAGUGGGGAAUUUUGGACAAUGGGCGAAAGCCUGAUCCAGCAAUACCGCGUGUGUGAUGAAGGCCUUCGGGUCGUAAAGCACUUUCAGUUGUGAAGAAAUGCACAUGGUUAAUAGCCAUGUGAGCUGACGUUAACAACAAAAGAAGCACCGGCUAACUCUGUGCCAGCCGCCGCCGUAACAC